CACAUGCUCCUAAGAUCACCUUUGUGGAUGCCCGUCUUGAGCUGAGUCUACUUGUAAACUCUGGUUUCUUGUAGUCAGUCAAAGAAACAUCCAGCAACUUUUUGGUUGAUAGUCAAAGGUGCUUGAGUCAUUGGCAUGUAAGAUAAAUAUACCUGCAUGUUAGUCUUAGGUUCUGAUAGAAAUGACAUGCAAUUAUGCUGCCAUUUUUUACUAUCAGGACUCGACUGGUGUGCGGACACU
rnacentral:snoRNA from 8 species